rnacentral:ncRNA from 1 species
GGUUCUAUUUUGUUGGUUUCUAGGACCGCCGUAAUGAUUAAUAGGGACAGUCGGGGGCAUCAGUAUUCAAUCGUCAGAGGUGAAAUUCUUGGAUCGAUUGAAGACUAACUACUGCGAAAGCAUUUGCCAAGGAUGUUUUCAUUUAUCAGGAACGAAAGUUAGGGGAUCGAAGACGAUCAGAUACCGUCGUAGUCUUAACCAUAAACUAUGCCGACUAGGGAUCGGACGGUGUUAUUUCUUGACCCGUUCGGCACCUUACGAGAAAUCAAAGUGCUUGGGCUCCAGGGGGAGUAUGGUCGCAAGGCUGAAACUUAAAGAAAUUGACGGAAGGGCACCACCAGGGGUUAACAAACUGUGUAGCCGCAGUUAACUCUGCUCCUAAAAGCCGCCCGAAAGGGUCAGGUGGUCGUUCCUGGCAUCACGCCGAACCAUGGCUAGUCUCCUCGGAGGCGACACCCCCAAAUUGCGGGGAACUCCUAAAGCUCUCGCUCCAAAGCCGGUCUGUGAAAGCAGUCGGUGGCCAGGUUAAUAGCCUCGGGUACUGGAAUAACGCGAGAGAUGCUACAAUGGACAAUCCGCAGCCGAGCCUCUAAGUGCUUUCAAAGCAUACGAGGAAGGUUCAGAGACUUGACGGGGAUGGGUGAAUCCUGACCGCUGCAGACUUACGGAUGCAGCUGGCAUGGUUUGCUUAAGAUAAAGUCCGCCCCUAUGGGAAAUCAUAGGUAGCUCUGCAAAUCGAAUGCAAGGCCCUUAAAACGGGAGCCUGCGGCUUAAUUUGACUCAACACGGGGAAACUCACCAGGUCCAGACACAAUAAGGAUUGACAGAUUGAGAG